UAAAAUAAAGCUCUAAUGAGCAUCUUAUUUACAUUAAGAAGGUCUCUGGUAAUUGAGUAUUUUGA
rnacentral:tRNA from 1 species